GCAGUGGUGGUUCAAUGGUAGAAUUCUUGCCUUCCACGUGGGAAACCUAGGUUCAAUUCCAAGCCAAUGUA
rnacentral:tRNA from 1 species